CUUUGGAUGAAUUGAAGCGGAAUGACUUGAUCCUUUAGCAAUUCUUUUACCUGUGGAUGGGACUUUGAGUUCAUUUGGAAGAUUGAUUCUCGAAAGCUUACAUCCAAGGUCAGAUUCCAAUAACCUUUUUGAGUGGGUUACCCUGUACCGGUCGAGUUUUCUUUGGUGUUUAUGCAUUGAUGUUUGCUGAUGAAGCUAGGGAAAUAGUUAUGAUUAAGGUCAAUUCUUACUAAAAGUAGGCUCUUUGUUGUAUUUUCCCAAGUGUUUCAGCUUUCUAAUUUGAAAGAUUCCAAUGUAAAAUGAUACUUUUGGGCUCAAAUAUACUGGAUAUGAACGAAUUUGUAGUUGCACCAAUAUUCUUGUUAUAAAUUUGCACUUGAGAAGAAUUUGAUUCUGGCAU